AAAUAUUAUAAACAGACAAAUAAGUGAAUCAGUAAUGAAGCUGCAAAACUAUGGUCCUUUUUGAGUUAAUGGUUAAUUGGAUUUGCUUUAUUAUUUUUUUUUAAGAAGCAAAAGAAGCUGUUUCAAUUAUUUAUAUGUAGAAUUUCAAUGACAUUUUAUGAAAGAUCCUUUAAUUAUUAAAAUGAUAAAGUUUAAACCUUUUAUAUAUUCUGAAUAAAACUCUUCCCCCAGUUUUAUUGAGGUAUGGUUGACACACUGUAUAUAACUCUAAGAUGUACAGCAUAGAAUAAGGACUUAUAUAUAUACAUAUAUUGGGAGUGGAAAAAUCUUAAUUACUUAUAUAAUCUUGACUUUUCUCUUCUCUCCCCCUUUAAUAUGCACUAGAAGAGACUAAGAGAAAUUAUUUUAGCAUGUUCAUCUUAAAAUUAUAUUAUUUCCCUAAAUAAAUAAACAAAAAAUUUAGCUGAUUCCAAAAGUGAUUUGUCAGUAUCCAGUAAUGUUAUUUAAUAUUGGGAAUAGAGAUAAUAAGGGACAAGGGAUUUCCCUUUCCAUUAAAUCUAAAACAUGGUUUCCUUAAAUUUCCAAACCAACAUGAAAUCAUUCAUUCUUUCCGGAAACUCAUUUUCUGGAGAUCCGUUGACUUGAUUUUGCUUUGUAGUCCCACAGAUUUUACUUUACUUUCUAUGAUAAAUGUUUUCCUAUAUGCAAGUAGUAUAUUUCAUUUUUAUUAGAGCCAUACAUAAAAGGAGAAACAAUAGAAAUAUAAUCUUCUAAAAUGUGGUCUCCUAUCAACAGCAAAAAAUUAAGGCCAAAUAUGAAAACAGCUUAUUUGAUUUACUUUGAGAGGUCAAAGGGCAUGCUGAUUGUGCCCAUUUAUUAAAUAUCAGUGGACUGAUGGAAGCAAAAAAAAAAAAGAGAAAGAAUAUAGUGAUAAAAGCAAAAUCAAUUCAUUAUACCAGUUAUUUUUAAAAAUGUGCAAAUGAAUCCUUGCCAUAUAAACACAAAUGAGCAUAGGUAAAAAUAAGCACUGAAGUCAUACUUAAAAUUUAGUACCAAGACCAUCUCUUUCCCUUGAUCGACUGUAGUGUUUAACUCAACAAAGACCCAUUCCUUUAGAAAUACUUAGCUCCUGUGGUAUGGAUUUGUUUACAGUGAAGACACAAGCAAGCAUUUUUGGUUGUAUUUUUUGCAUUAUGCACAUUCACGAUUGAAACCACACAUCCUCAAUGUAUUUGAGAUCCAAGUUUCAAAAACCUUGUAAAUAUGCAAUAUUUUAGAAGCUCCUUGAUGUAUUAACCAAGGUCUGCAGAAUGCCACUAAUUAAAAUAUAAUCAGAAAACUAUCCUUUGUCCAACCAGGUAGGUAUGGAGUUAGGGUGUAUGUCUCAAAACACCUCCAAGUCAUGAGCAAGAUGGGCUCUUUGAUAUCUGCUGUCAGUUAGCUUUCCUCAUACAGCUCUCUCUGGUUUUAUCAGGAAAACUUUCCUGCAUAUUCUAAGGAAAAGAAAAUCAUUCUUCUAGGGAGCACAAUGUAGUUAUAUGUCUAUAGUUUCCUAGCUUUAACUAACUUCAUAAUAAUAUUGCCAUUUAACCAAACCCCAAACGCUCUAAGAAUGUAGGGAAGUAUAGAAUAAAGAUUACAAUCUAAAAGAUCCAAAGGGCAAUUGUACUGGGGAAUCCUUAGACCAGUCUCUCUACCCUCAUUUAAUUUUUCUGUCUUAUAUAGUCCUCCACUUCCCUCUCUACUUAAGCCUAAGCUAAGGAGGCCAGAACUGUAGCACAAAAACUUGCUUUUAAUAUGAAAAUGUAAUGCGUAAUUUUGGGGACCACAGACUUUCUGCAUCAAAGAUCUGGACAGCCUUAACUUUUGUAUUAAAAAAAAAAAUAACAAAAACCCACAAAACAAUUUUUUCAGUGCUCUGUUUUACUAGCAGGAGAACACGGUUUCCUGGAACUAAUGACUUUUUUAUAUUUUGUGACUCUUUUCUAAGUUUCUACAGAGUGAGGUGUGAAUGGUCAUCGUUUCCCCAUAUUUGCCUCUUAGUAGUCACGUGGGCUAUUUUUUGCUAAUCACUGCAUUUUUAUCAAAAGAAAAGUCUUCUCUCACAAACCAUAAACUUCUCCCUAGACUUCAGGCAGUCCUUCUAGAGUGAAAGAACAGAAAUACAGAAAGAAAAGAUUUACAGGGUGGCUUUCUUUUUAUUUUUCCUAUGGUUAAUGUACUGUAUGGUAUCUAUGUUUACAGAAUGUAUCUGCCUUGUGAUGUAAAACAAAAUGAAUGACAAAAAAAAAAAGUUCUGAUGUGCCAUUUGAAAGUUUGCCUUAGCAUCACAGUUUAUGUUCUU